GAGGGUAGAGCUCCGUGGUAGAGCGUGUGCCCAGCAAGCACGAGGUCCUAGGUUCAAUCCCCAGCACCUCCA
rfam:Camelus ferus unplaced genomic scaffold scaffold471, whole genome shotgun sequence.